UACGGAGGGGGCUAGCGUCGUUCGGAAUUACUGGGCGUAAAGCGCACGUAGGCGGACCGACAAGUCGGGGGUGAAAUCCCGGGGCUCAACCCCGGAACUGCCUCCGAAACUGUCGGUCUGGAGGUCGAGAGAGGCGAGUGGAAUUCCGAGUGUAGAGGUGAAAUUCGUAGAUAUUCGGAGGAACACCAGUGGCGAAGGCGGCUCGCUGGCUCGAUACUGACGCUGAGGAGCGAAAGCGUGGGGAGCAAACAGG
rnacentral:rRNA from 1 species